GCUUGGAUAAAACGAGAAUACACCCACUUCUAUUCUUUCUGAGUGAAUACAUCCACUUUGAUUAUUUCUGAUGAAGGUUUGUAUUGGGAUUUUACAAAGUGGCAUGUAGUGAUCGGUUAGUCUGGACAUUCAUACUAUAAGGUCUAGGAGAACUUGGAAGCAAAAUGUCCUGGAGAAGCGGCUCUUCAGUUACAUUUUAGACCACCAUAUUUGAGUUAAAGUCACCACUGUGCCCUGAGUCGCAUAGACAAGGCAGGUGG